CUUCUAAAUUACAAGGAACAGAAAACAGAAGUGAAUUUCUCUACUGUUCACUAAUUUAAGGAUGUGUAAACCUUUUUCUUCUCUCCUAGAAUUUGUGGAAGUUGUUUCACUUCCAAAGAAUGACCUUCUGCAAAGGAUUGAUGAACUGGUAGCAGAAGAGCACCUGGCAGUAGAUGCCAGGGUUUAUACUUACGCGUUGGCUCUGAAGCGCGCAGCAGAAAAACCGCUCCAAGUUCCUUUUAUGAAGUUCUAGAACUGGACAAUGAGAAAUGGAAUUCAAAACUGCCUGUGUUGGAUGGCUUAGAAGUAUAACUCUUCUUCUAAUCAAGGUCAUUUGCUUUACUUGUAGAGCAAAAAAAGUGUUUGUAGUAAUGAUUCUGGUAUUUUUAUUUUUAAUUAUGUAACUGACAAAAAGCAUUUCCUCUAACUGCUCUGUCAAGCCUUGACAGAAUAUCCAUAAUAAAAAUACUGUUUAAUUUUCAGAAUG